rnacentral:lncRNA from 1 species
UCCGUAAGUACCAGAAGAGUACUGAGCUUUUGAUCAGGAAGUUGCCCUUCCAGAGGUUGGUCCGUGAAAUUGCCCAGGACUUUAAGGUUUGUUGCAACCUCUUUCAUUACCUGCUUUGAGAUAUGUUCUUGGGUUUGAUGAUAGAUCAAAGCUGAUGUAUAAAAUUGCAUUGUGUGUUGCAGACUGAUCUGCGUUUCCAGAGCCAUGCUGUUCUUGCAUUGCAAGAGGCAGCCGAGGCUUACCUUGUUGGAUUGUUCGAGGACACCAAUCUCUGCGCCAUUCAUGCAAAGCGUGUGACGAUAAUGCCCAAAGAUAUCCAGUUGGCUCGGAGAAUCCGAGGUGAACGUGCUUAGAAGAUGUUGUAUUGUUGUUUGGUGAAUGGUAUUGGCUGCAAAGGAGGUGAUCAAAAGACCUAAUUGAUGAUGAUGAUGAAGGGAUGAUGAUGGGGUUUUUAUUUUUUUUAGCAAGGUUGGUAGUAUAUUUUAUACUAGAAAAUUGUAGUGAAUAUGGUAAAAAAGGCAUAAUGCUUUUGGUUGUGCAUGUUAAUGUUUAGUUGUGGAUGAUUUUGUUUUUGUUCUUUUAAAAAGGAUGGAGGAGCUUAAUUCUGUAUUUCCAUUGAUGAAUUGUGUUUUUGGGUAUUGCAGCCAAACUAAAUUUGUUGGAUAACCUAAACCUAUCAUAUCUAAUUUGUAGUUCAGAUUUGUCUCGAUUCAUCAUUUUUUUCCCACCUGCUAAUGUGUGGUUUCAUGUUUAUGUUCCUUUAUGCAACGUAAUUCUUCCUGCAAUUUGAUAUGGUGUGCUGUUGUUUUAUCUUCGCCUUCAUCCCUAAAUCUAUAAUUCGUUCUUAUCAUUUGGCUACUAUCCUCGACUUUUUAAAUCAGCUGCACGUGUGGUUUAUGCUAUGUUCAUGAUAUAAAAAUGUUGUAGAGUGAAGGGACAUCAGAUCAUUGCUAUAUUUACUGGCUUUAUGAUUUUGCCUAAAAGAUGAAUCCAUUCAGAACCCGCACUUGUUCUCUUCAUUCUUAUACCAUUUCUCUCAUCAUUCCAAGUUUUCAUUUGGGUUUUGAAAGUUAAUUUUGUCACUGCGAUAAUUAUAUAUAUCUUCGGGUGAAAAGCUUCUAAUUUUUCUUUGCUAAACUGAUGUUUUCAUUCUCUAAAACAACUCAAGCCUAAAAUACAUUUCUUAGUAAUGUCACUCUUAAAGGUAACAAAUCAAAAUAAAGAAGCCCCACUCUCACCCUUCAUCAAACGUCAAUAAGAUGGAGAAUGGUGGGUCGUUCUAUUAAAAAGCCUAUGAGAAAGAACUAAGCGCAGCCAUCCUGAUUCACGAACACCCAAAUUCUCCAUUCAGGUUCAACUAGUUCAACAGGGCCAUAUUGCCUCCAUUUCAUCUGUCGAAGAUAGUCGAGCAUUCCCUAGAUCUCACGAACAGCAGCCUCGUUAUUUUCUCUCUUCUCUGCCAAUACAUUGGUGUUUACAGGGAAGAUUUAUUCAGGAUACUGCACCCUUAAUCCCCAUCUCAGAGUAAUCUCUCACGACAUUCUCAUUCAUACCUUCACUAAUUUUAAAUUCAACCAACUAAUCCUCCUCCCAUGGGACUAUCAGAGCAAAAGAGAUCACUAAAAUAUUUGGCCAAAGCAUUUUCAAGCUCUUUUAAUUGUAUCUAAUGGAUCAAAAUUAUUUAUAUUCAUUGAAUUCAUGUAAAGAUUUUAACUUCUAUCCUUUUGAUCGAGUAAUGUUUUAGUCGUUGCUAUUGGAGAAAAAGAACGAAAAAACUUUGAAUUGUUUUCUUCAAAGUCAAAUUGUUGAGAAGAAUUAGUCUAUAUUGACAACAAUUCUUAUAUGUGUACCUAUAUUAUUUAAAUAGUUGAACUAUAAACAAGCUCUAAAUGUCACUUUACAACAAGACCAUUGAAUUAAAACGAACCAAAAAAAGGAAAAAACAACAACAAAUUAAGAAAUUGAGAACUGAUAAAUGGAAUAAACGUUUGGUGAUCAAAGAUGGUUCCUUUGAAAGAAGAAAAUUCCUUAUUGCAGCCUUGAAAAGUUCUUCCUUCCAUUUGAUAAUAUAAAUAAAUCGUUUUCUCCCUACUUAACAAUACCAUUCUUUGCAGCCCAACUUGAAUCUUUUUUCUUCUAAACAAACCUUUAUUUUAAUUUGUAAUUAAAAAUUUGACGCAACUCUUUUAUUUAUUCUCUGCAUAUGGUUCAAAAUAUGCGUGAAAAGUGAGAAAUUUGAACCUUUGAUUUAGACUACGUUUUGACUUGUUAAUGAUUCUUUCACCUAUAAAUUCAUUUAAAAGUUUAGGUUCUUUUUGCUUUUAGCAAAAUAUCGUUUCAAAUGUUUAACUUUUAAAAUUUUAACAAUACUGUGAUAUUUCAAAAAGUGUUAAAAAAACCAUCAUUUAUCGUUUGUAUAAGAACAUAGACAUAAAAUUAUUGUAAACGACAACUUUUUAAAUAUUUUGGUUAAUUAUACUAUGUUUGAAAACGAUAAAAAAGAAUUAGUAAUACAAAAUAAGUAAUUUAACUUCUUAAAGUUGAAUUAUUUAGGUAACCGUACCAUAGUUGAAAAAAAUAGGAAAAUUGUCAAAAUAGAGCAUUGACAAAAUAUUUACACCCAAUCUGAAAAAAUCGAACCGUAAUAAAUUUUGUAUUUGAGUGGUUUUGUUCUAUGAGCCCUAAAUAACUCGUCAAACUUUUCUAUUUUGAAAAACCAUCUUUCCAAAUUUAAAGAUAUUAUUCAAAAUAUUUUGUAACUGUCUUUAUAUAAAUAUGUUGAAAAUAUUCACAAUGAUAACUUAUCUUUAAAAUUAAUCUUGUUUAUCCUUAAUUUUAAGAAAAUUAUUAUGUUUAACAAAUCUUUUUAAAAAUAUUUAAAAAUGUAUUAAAAUAAAUUUAUCCAUAAACGAUAAAUAUAUCUUGAUUAAUAAUUAAAUAAUUAAAUGACAAAUAGUACAAUGUUAUAUUUGUAAAUAUUUUAGUUUUUUCAUACUUUAAUUUUAUAAUAUAUUCUAUGGACAUAUGGAUGGAAACAUAUACACAUAUAUACGUAUAUACACAAUCGGCUCAAAUAAAGAAAAAGAAAAUUAGUUAAACGGCCGUUAGAUGUUGCCAUCUAACCACCACUCUCUGCCGACCGGCCGCUUCCAUCUAUAUAUAUAUAAUUAUAAUUUUUUACGAUAUCUUAUUUCCAUUCCAAUUUUCUCAAUCCAAAGAUUCAUAAAAAAUUAUGUCUUCAGCUUACACAUACCUCUAUCGACUUCACGACAUAACAUCUUUGACACUACAACAUUUUGAUAGUAAAAAAAAAAAGUGUAUUGGUUAAACAUAGACAUAAUUAGCCACCAUAAAAUUAAAUUCUUCUUUUUCUUAGUUUUUCAUUUUUUUAUCGAACUUUCCAAUCACUAAGAAUAGUUCUCUUAAAAUUUUAUUUUGGUGUGUGUACUUUGAAGUCUAAUCCGUUUUAGUUUAUGAUCAAUUUGAUUUUUGUAUUGGAUUUAAAUAAACAAUGUGUUAAUUAUUCACAUAUUACCCACAAUUUUUAUACGUUUCUUUUAUAUAAAAAAAUAAAGAUAGAGACAAAUAUAUAAAUAAAUUGAGGAAUUUGUGAAAAUAGUAGAUUUACAAAAUAUUUACAAUUAUACAAAUUAAAUUCACAGGUGAUAUAAUAGAAUCUAAAAUUUUACUAAAUUUUUUAAUUUAUUUUGAUAUUUUUUAAAAAUGUUUGGAACUUUAUUUAUAAAUAUUUAUUAUCAAUAAAUUGAAAUUUUAGUGUUAGAUUUUAAUUUGUAUUUGUAUUUUAAAACCAUAAUCCAUGCAACUACCAAAGUAGUUUUAUAGUUAAAAAAGUAAUAAAAGAAAAAGGCAAAAUGGACAUCGUCAAAUCCAAUGGCUAAUUGAUUAACAUAAUUUUAAACAUUUCAUGAAAUCGACAAAGAUCGAAUGAAACCCAUUGAUUCCUUUAAUGGAACAUCCGCCAUCUUCGGACUUUCCUUCAUUCUCAAACCUCUCUUCUCUUUUCUUCUCUCUCUAAAUUCAUCUUCUACUGAUCUUCUUUUCUUUCUCCAAAAAACCAAAAAUUACAAACACUUCGUUUUCGUUUUUUUCAAUGGAAUUGCGUGUUCUUCCAACUUACUCUGAUUCUGUAAGUUUCUCUCUCUCUUUCCUCUCUAAUUGACCCUUUCUGCUUCAUCUUCUUCUUCAAUUUUUCAUUCUUUUUGUUAUAUUAAAAACAAUGUUUCCAUAGUUAUAGAAACUGGGUUUUGCUUUUGUUUGUUGGGGUCAGUUGUGUUUUGUGUUUUUUCUUUCCUUUCUUUUUCCUUAAAAACAGAGGAUUUGAUCGUAGUUUAUGAAAUACAUCAACCAAUGGAGAAGGUAGGUAUGAAAUUCAAUGUGGAAGAAGAUGAUUCAACAGAGCUUCCAAAGUUUAAAGAUGUGAAGAAAUGGCGAAUGAGAUCAAUACAAAGCUUAAUUCUGAGUUGGAAUCGAGAAACAAAGAGUCCGCCGUAGGAAAGGCUGAGGGAUUGGAAUCUGUGAAGAGAAACAAAAACUCCGCCGUGGAAAAGGCUGAGGGAUUGAAAUCUGUGAAGAGAAACAAAGACUCCGCCGUGGAAAAUGCUGAGGGAUUAAAGCUUCAAUUGGCAGAGAAACAGAGCAGCUCUCUGUUUUGAAAAAUUCUGAACUACAAACAGAAUCAAGAAUCGAAGAACUGGAGAAAAAGUACCGAAUUUCCAAAGAAUCAGAGGAGAAAACAAAGGAUUUAAUAUUAGCACAAACAGAACAGCUAGAACAAGCAAAGGUUUCCUCGAAGAGUCAAAGCUAGAAAUCCAAUCCCUUCAUGAAAAGCUCCAAAAAUGUUCUUCCAACACCAAUAAUGACAACCACAACAUUCCAGGAAACCACGAAUUCGAAAGCCUAAAAUUCGAGCUCGAAUCGACGAAACAAAAUCUGGCUCUGCUAAAAACGAGCUAAAGUUAGCCACAGAAGCAGAGGAAACAACAAGAAGGCCAUGGAUGAUCUAGCUAUGGCAUUAAAAGAAGUAGCAACAGAAGCCAAUCAUUUCAAAGGAAAAUACAGCACAAGUGAAGAGGAAUUAAAGCAAAGAAAGGAAGAAACAGAGAACUUGAGACAACAUUGAAAACCAUAGAAGAAAAGAACAAAACUCUGUUACAAGAGGCAAGAAAAGAGGCUGAUUUAUACAAAAGCACAGUAGAUAGGCUGAGAUUAGAAGCAGAAGAAUCUCUAUUAGCAUGGAGUGGAAGAGAAACAAGCUUAGUGGAUUGUAUAAGAAGAGCUGAAGAUGACAGAUACAAUGCGCAACAAGAAUCGCCGCUUAAUGGAUUCGCUGAGGCUAGCCGAUCUCAGAACAUGACAUCAAAAGAAGAGAUCAAGAAAUUAAGAGACAUUCUAAAACAAGCCUUAAAUGAAGCUACUGUGGCCAAGGAAGCUGCAGGAAUUGCAAUAGAGGAGAAUUCACAGCUAAAAGAUUGUUUAGUCGAGAAGGAAAAUGCAUUGGAUUUUGUUAGCACUGAGAAUGAGACUCUAAAAGUCAGCCAAGCUUCAGCUCUAGAGGAGAUUAAGGAGUUGAAGCAAUUGCUAGAAGAAGCAACCAAGAAAGAAGGGAACGGUAAAGAGGAAAGCAAGAGCAAAGAGGAGAACAAGAGCAAAGAGGAGAGCAAGAACAAAGAAGAAGGAAAAGAGCAAGUGGAGAUGACGAAAUCAAAACCGCCGUUGAGUCCAAGUCCAAAUCAGAAUCCAAGUCCGAGUCCAGCGAGAAGGAGGAUACAUUUGGAAAAGGUUAGGGAAAGCUUUCAGUUUUAGUUUCUUGAGUUGAGAAUCUCACCACAGAAGAAGGAGGUGGAAGAAGAAGCAGAAGAUGAAGAGCCUGAAAUGGAGGAGACGCUUAAAGGGUCAUUUUUGACGAGAAUGUUGAUUCACCUGGUUCGGCAAGGCUGCACGAGAGAGGCCAUCGUUGUCUCAGUAUAGUGAAGAUGGGGAGCUGAUGCAUUUUGAUGGUGAGGAUCUGGAUCAGUUGGAAGAAGGGAAUUUGGAUGAGUUAGAAGGAGAUAGGAAUUCAAGGAAGAAGAAGGCAUUGAUAAGGAGAUUUGGGAUCUUUUGAUGAGGAGGAGGAGCUUUCAACAGAAAGAAGGAAAAUCACCUGAGUGAAGUUUUUGUGAUGUUAAUGCAGUUUUGAUUUUUUUUUUUUUUUUUUCUUUUGAUCUUUUUGUAAAACUGUAAAUUCAUACAAGUAGUUUACAUUGUGUAUUUAUGUGGUUUUUCUUCUUUUUUUUGGUGCCUAAAGAUGUCUUCUUCUUCAAUCAAAUGAGAAUAGUUUGUGUUAGCUGGUUUCAAGAUAUUCCAGUUCCCUACACUAUCCGAUGAAAGAAAUUAUAGCUAAAAUUAUAAAAACUGAAGAAACUCGUUUUGAACAGAGUGUUCCUCUUUUUAAAAAAAUGUGAGAAUCAAUAGGCUCUUCCAUAGUUCCCGUAUCAAAUGUUAACCUACCUUUUAUAAUUAAACAAUCACCACGACAGAGAAUUAACAGUGAGUUCUCUUUUAAUCAAUUAAUUUUUUUUUUAUUCAAGCACGUGAAAUGUGAUUUCAAACUUCAAGGUCAAGAAAUCAACACCCCUGCCUUGACUUGUUUUCAUUCUUGAAAACCCAAUUCUAGAACUUCAAUUGUGUGUUAUCGUAACACAUCUUAGGCACUGUACAAUUGAUUAUUAACGAGUCCAUCACACCAAAAGAUCCAAACAUCAAGACAUCAGUGGAAUAAUAUACACAACUUCAUACUCCAAGGGGAUGCUUUUGAGUUGAGCUUCAACUAUAAUUCAUAACCUGGGAACCUUGACUUCUCAGGUUCAAGCAAAUCGAACCAAAGGCAUGCAGUUCCAGCUAGUCCAUGGAAAAGAGAGAAAAGACGGUCGCCUCCAACCUGGUUUUGGGUAGCAACAAGCUUGCUAGCAUUAUGAUACAGGUAGGUUCCAAAUGCUCUGGCUCUUUCUUCAUAGACACUCUCUCCGGUAAGGCGAUAAAGGGAAAGAAAGGCAUAUGCAUUGCCGGCAACACCGUCAGCAAGUCCAACUUCCUUUACCAAUCCAUUUUCCAUACUACUUCCCCUGCUUCAAUUGCAGCGUCCCUGAACUCCCUGUCUUCAUGGAAAACCUGAAAUUCGAGUAAAACAGAACUCCUGUAACCACCUUAUGUAUUUCAUUCAGGAAUGUAAGUCUUUACUAUGCAGUUUAUGAUAGAAAAAUAAAGAUCCCAGAUUGAAGUUAUUAAAUUAAUCCAACCCUUUCCCAGUGAAGCUUAACCUUAAUCGCUGUGGUCUAUGGUUGACAACAAAUCUGAAAAUUUUUAAAACAUCAAGGCCAAGAACUUCUUUCCUAGUAAACAUGAUUUCGUGAUUUUUGUUUUAUAUGUGUUCCACUGGAUAAACAAGACUAAGAAAUCUGCCUCACCCCUACAUGAACAACAAAAAGAUACUAGAACCUCCAUGCCUAAUAGAAGGACGAUAUUGAAGUCGAAAGAAUGAGCAUUGAGCCACAUUAAAAAGUUAGACACGAAAGAAUGAACCACCUGUGAAGCUUGCAGAGGGUAAUGCCAAUGCCAGUGGCCCCAUGAGACCAUUGCACUAAUUUGUCCUUGGGCUGCCUUCACUUGAGGGAUAGUUACGCUGUGUGGAAAUCUUUUGCUCAUCAAAUAUCUCAACGUCCCUUAACAUCAUCAGUGUCCUCUUUUGAAAGUGGGAAAUGCAAAAGUACUUGCAAGAUACCAGCCAGGCCGUUGGCUGCACCAUAAUAUCUCGUCCCAUGCCAUCUGAACAUCAAAGGGCAGUCUGGGUUGUCGGAUGCACCCGCCUGCCACCCGCUAAAACAGCAUCAACUACGGACAUGAGAAGAUCAUGAGGUAUUCUCUGCUCUCCAAGAUGCUUAUUAAUGAAUAAGGCAGCCCAUAAGAACCCAGCUCGCCCAUACAGGAGAUCAUAUGACAUUCCAAAACCUCCUUCUUCAGGUCAAUAGGGAGUGCUUUCUCUUCUGCUGCCUGUUAUAAAAGGUUAUAGGACAUUUUAAGACACUCUCGUACCUUAUAUUUGUUUCUUUUCUCUCGUUUUAGUUAUAUAGCAUAGAUUUAGCUACACUCUUCUUUCUUGUACUCCAAAGUUUCACAUGAAAUAUAAAUAUAAAAUAAGAGUAAUUUUGUCUUCUUCAGCUUUAAUUUUGAUAUGCAUAUACGCAAACCACCAAAGACGGUAAACAUGGAGAGCACUUGUUUUGAAACAUCAUAAACAGUAAAUAAGAAACUGAGAAUCCAAUGGAUUGCCAUUUUAUGCCUAGGCUUCUUAAAUAGUAAUAAUAAUAAUAAUAAUAAUAAUAAUAGUAAUUGUGAAGUGUUUUUUUGUUUUAACCAAAUUCUUGGUGGUACCUUUUUAAGAUUUUUACCUUUUAUCUUUAGAGUUCAAACACUUUUAGAUAUCCAUCGUCUGUUUGAAAAUUGUAUUUUCAUUCUCUGUUCAACUCAGUUUCUUGUUCAGACUUCUUGAAUUCUUAAAGCUUAUAUAUGGAGCUGAUUAAGAAUUCAGUUACACGUAAUUUCUGAAUAAACAUCGUCUACAAGCUAUCGAAACUUAUUUCCUACCCCAAACUUGCCAAGAAUGAUAAAUUACUCCUUUACCGAUUUGCUGUGGCUCAGUACAACUGUGUUAAUAGGUGACAUAUGGGAGGUUUUUUAAAAGAUUUUUACUAGGGGUGAACAAGAAAACCGCCCAAACCGAAAUAAUUGUCAAAACCAAACCUUACUCGCAAUUUUCAGGUGUCCAACUAAUAUCCACUGGUUAUAAACAAAACAUGUCAAUUUAAUGCAGUGCCAAUUUCCAGUGAGAGUUGGCUCGGUGGUGCUAAAUUUUCAGAUACUACCUAUUGGUGUUAGGGAAUUAAAGUAGCUGAAUAUAUUUAGGCAUAUUACAUCUUCGACCAAGAAGUUUGAGAUUUAAACUAAACCAAAUGUUCCAAGUGGUUUUAAUCUUGUUGGUAUAGCGCUGAUGAGACAUGCAAGAUCUUAAACAACACAAUGUUCCAGAUAUGCAACUCCAUAUCUGGAACAGGUCUCCUACGUGACAAUGUUCAAAGGACCAAAGAACGAGAAGUUUGGAUAAGAAAAAAAAAAGGAAAGGAAAGAAGAAGAAAAUAGGCAGGCAGUGUGAAGGAGAGUGAAAAGAGAAAAAGGAAAACAUAUAUAAAGAAAAAAAAAAUUUCCAAUUUGAAGAGAACAAUAAUUGAUAUAUCUUUCCUAAACAACUUUAAAAAAAUAUUUAACUGAUAUCAGCCCAAGAGAGCAUAACUCAACUGACAUAACCACAAAGUUUGUGGUUUGAAUCCCCCACCUAUAGUACUUGAAAAGAAAAUAUGUUUAGUAAGUCAACUUCAAGAACUAACCAAGACCAAAAAAGUUCAAAUAUCAAGUUUAAAAACUAAUGAUCCAAAUGCAACCAAAUAUAAACCUAGGCCUGCAUACCGAGAAAUAUAACUUUAUUUAUUUAUAUGAGAGAAAAAUGUAACUUCAUAAUUUUAACAUAUAAUUAGACCAGCAAAAGUGGAGACCAGACCUUAAGAAAAAGAUUGAAGAAGAAGUCAAGCUUUUGAGGGUCCCUCAUGUAAUGAGAUACCACGGCGCCAAGAGCAUAAACUCCUCCUCUACCACAAAGAAAAGUCAAGUGCCUGCCCAUACCAAAGUAACAAAAUAUUCAAUUAUUUCACAUCAAACUCUUCCAAGAACUAUAUGGUCCACAUUCUUUCCAAGUGAUAUAUUAACUAAAAAGAACAUAUGCCUAAAACCAAUAAUUUCUCCUUUUAAAAAGGAAACAACAACAAUAAUAAAUAAGCAUUAACUUCUAUCCCAUACUUCCAAUACCUAUUUUCUUUUCUUUAUUUAUUUCUUUUAGCAAAACAGUUACUAAUUACCCAUCAUCUCUCAGAUGUCAGGAAGGUAAUAUCUUCAUGAAAAAUUAUCGCGUACAAUUUUAUUGAUUUUGUAUUUAUAAGUCCUUAUACCUCUGCAAUGUGAAACUUUAAGGUUCCAUUAGAAACAAAAUCCAAAGGUACAUAUAAUAGACCAAUUAUCAAAAGGACUUAAAGUUUUGAAAGGACUUAUUAUGCUUCAAAUACCUACUAAAUACUUUUGAAAGCUUACGAACUAAACUAAGAACUUAACCGGGAGGUUAAUACUAUAAAUUUCAUCAUUAUAUUUUUUAAGAAAUGAAGAUUAUGAAAACAAAAUUCAUAAGAACUGCCCCACCUUAUAUAAUAUCAUGUCUCAAAAUACGAUUUUAUUUCACUCAUUAAUCAUUCAACAAAAUUUCGCCAAAAACAGAAAGAAAUCAUGAGAAAAAAGAAGACUACUUUUUAGUAGUACACUUUCUGCUUUUCAAAGUGGGUUUGAGGAGCAGAUAAUUUAAAAUCAAGGGGAAAAAUAAUUCCAGAGGCCUGGUCAUGAGAUAUUUUUUAUAUGACAAAAGAAGUUUGUCUCUUUUGAAAUUUUUCUGAAAACUCAAUAUUUGUGGCACUCGUUUUUUUGCUCUAUUUUAUUAUAUGAUGAUUUUUAUUAUUUUAAUCACAAACAGGUCUAACUGGGUCCAGAAGCUUUGUGGAAAUAUUAAAAAAAAAUUAUCUAAUCACAUAUUCCGUUGCUAUCUGAGUUUUCUUUUUUUAAUUACUUUAUAUAUUUUUUUGGAACAAUUUUAUUAGUUAGUACAAACGGAGAGAAUUUUAAAGAAAGAUGAUUUUACUUUAUCGGAAAAACUCACUCUUCAUUGCUAGCCAAGAGGUGUCAUCGCUUGAUGGGAAAACUAAAAGAUAAUGCAUUGACACAUGACAAUUCAUGGUUGGCCCAGGUGUAAAAAUGCAAGAACAACUCCAUAAUAAAUUGGAGCCAAAUUGUACCACAAAAACUAACCCUUAUACUAAAAAAAUCAAAAAGUUCAAUGGUCGAUAGUAGAUCUAACAAUUUUAUGGAAGGGCUGUACAGAAUUGAGAAAGUUAACUAAGUAAUAACAUCCAAAUCCUAUAAAACACUGCAAAAUCCUAUUAUAAUCAGAUUUUUUUAAAAGUAAAAAUGGAUUUAAAAUCACUUUGAAUUUUCAAAAAAAAAAAAAAAAAAAACCAUUUCCUAUGAAAUUCAUUUUAGAUUAUCAAAGGAAAAACUAAAUUUAGGUAAAACGAAAAACUGGAAACAAAAACUUGAAUUUUGGACGUCUAUUUUAUGAACUUCACGUUUUAAAUUUUAUGAUUGGAAAGGCAACAAACCAAAUAAAUCAUAUCAUUGGAUAGAGAAAGGGAAAGCAAAAGUCACAUGAUCACCUGUGAGAGGCACGUGCUAGAACCGUACAUUUAUCUACAAUAUCAGAACACAAUACCAAGUCCUGGUGGUUUCCGGUGGCCUCGUACGAUCUCAGGCAAGUUACCGCCGUCCCAAGUAAGCCGUUAUACACCGUCGGAUCAACUCCAAUAUCCGCGUUACCUCUCUGUUUCCAAGUAAGCUCCACAACCUAACAAAAUUUCAACAGCAGAGAGAAAAAAAACCAGUGUAAUCAACACCGUUUCCAUGAACGCUUGGGAGCUCGAGAAAAGAAAAAAAAGGUAAAACAAACCUGAUUCUUGAAAGAGACGGCUGCAGAGAGAAAGGUUUGAGAAGGAAGAAGAAUGUGUUGGGUGGAAUAAUCUGGAUUAUUCCUCCUCCUCCACCACCUUCUUCUCGAUCUUCCUGAGAUGAAGCGAGGUGGAGGAGGGAAGACAUUAGUGUAAGAAGAAGGAAUUGAAAUGAAAUCUGGAGAGGGAGGGAGAGGGUAGUGAGUUGUGUUUUGGAGUGAUGGUGUUAAAAGGGAAAAUCAAUGGCGGUUGGGGAGAGCAUAAACGGUGGGUCGGGAUUGCAAGUGUGAAACACGCGCUUUUACGAAUAAUAAAUUGAAUUAUUAUUUCCGUAGACACACGCGAAUGACGUUUGUUGUUUUAGUUUUUCUAAAAGAAAGAAAGAAAAUAAACAAAUUAUAAUUAUAAUUUUCGAAAAGCAAAGAAACAACGUGGGGAGCUCUCUUUAUUGUAAUCGAUGGUGUUAUUGAACAAUGGUGUACUACAAAUACAGUAUUCAUGAGUUGAGUUGAAAGAUUUUUAGGUUCAACUUGCUUGCUUGGACACUAAAUUUUGUGGAUCAAAAUAAUAUUUAUUAAAACAUAAAUAGAAUUAAACUCGAUUGUUUCUUACAAAUUUUAUUGAGUUUGGUUGGAUCAAGUUACUCGAUUAUUUAUUUAAAUUUUAGUUUUAGAAAAAAAUUGAUUUUAAAUUUAUUUUCGAACAGUUAAAAAACUAUAUUUAGGAGUUUUUGGAUAAAUAUUAAUGGAAUUAAAUAAUAUUUAAGUUUGGAUUUGAAUUUGGGUUAUUUUAGUGAACUAUCAAUCCAAUCUGUAAGAUUUUUGUUUAUUUGAACCAAAUCUAAUCUAGAUGAGUCAAUAACCUAAUCCCAACUACACAUAAUGCAUUGGAUCUUUUCUGAUUAUUGAAUUUUUUGAACACCUUUAAUGUCUUGGACUAUUAAGCACAUAAUAUUGUGCCUUAUGCCUUUUUUUUAUUUACGUUAAAGGAAUCAUACAACAAAAAAGAUCAAACUAAGGAAUUACAUUAAUGUUAAAGGAAUCAUACAACAAAAAGAUCAAAUUAAGGAAUUACAUUAAAAGGCACACGUGAAACAAAAACUACCUAGGAUAAGGAGAGUAAAGAAGAGAAUCACCUAAUACUUUAUACACCAAAGAGUAUGCUAGAACAUUAUUAGAAUAAUACCAGCAUCACCUCACCUAACUUAAUCGUAUUUGACUUUUUUGUUUCGUUAACGAAAGAAAAAACUACAAUGAGUUACAAAGAGACAUCAUUCACUGUAUUAAUAACCUCUAAACAAUUUGAUUCCAUAACGAGAAGUUGAACAUUAAUAGAGUCAAUAUACAAUCAAAAUUUUUACAAAUAGCUAUCACUUCGAGCAUCUUGACUUAAUUGUAUCCCGAAUAAAAUUUAGAUUAGCUAUAUGAAUACGACCCUAACAUACUUACAACACGCAUGCAACCCAACUAAACUCGCUAAUUCAAUCAACAAGUCUUAUUUUGAUUAAAAUUUAUAGUUAAACAAAAUCAAUAAAAAAAACUUUUUUAAAAGAAUUAAACAUUAAAUGAAACCAAUAAAUUAAGAUUCUCUUUUUUAAAAAAAUAUUUUUCUAUAAAAGCCGUAUUUAUAUGCUUAAAUUCCAAAAAUCAAAUAAUUUCUUUCUGCCAUGACUGCUCAUUUAUGUUCAUAUUGGAAUUAAAUUUAUAAAUAAAGUUAAUUUUGUACAUAGGACCCACACGUACUCCUAUGCACAUAAAGAAUGGAUAAAUACCACAAAAAAAUAUAAAUGUACGUCUAGGAAAAUGAAAGCAAAGUAUAUAUAUAUAAAAAAUAUCAAGCAUAUAAUAUAUACUCCGUAAGCUUAACACUUUCAAGAAUCUUAAAAAAUUGAAUAUUACAAAGUUUAAAUAAAAAAGUGUUUUAAGUAAGAAAAAGAAAAAGAAAAGGUUUAAGAUGCUUUUUAUGGGUUUGGAUUGAAUUUCUAGUUGAAAAAUUGUUAAGGUUUAUCCAAACCCCUUCAAAGUGAACCAUGUGUGUUACCAAACAUAUUCAUUAAGUUAAAUUAUUAAUCUAUGAACCUUUAGAUUACCAAACUAAGCUAAGCUCAGGGAUUAUUAACAUAAUCCUUUAUCCUCAAGGUGUGUGACAAAAAAUAAAAAAACAAACAAAUAAAUAAAAAGGAGGUGUGAUUCCAUAUUCUUCAAACUUAGGCAUAUUUACAAAGAAAUAAUUAGUCAGAUAAACUAUGUUUCAAUUUUUAUUUCACAAAUGUUAAAAUUACAGCUAAUAAACACAACUAACACAUCGAAUAAAUCAAUUAUGAUUGAACUAAACUUAUUUAGUCUAUAAACCACUAUAUUUAUUUGUUGCUAGAUCUUUAGUUUGAUCAACCAUCUAUUUAACAACACUCCCAUAUAUGAAGAUGAGUUAAUUUCAAAAGAUGAAACUAUGUUUUUGUCGACUGGAUCAACCUUAAAGACGUCAAGCAUCAGUUUCUAAGGCUGGUGGUACAAUUAUGUUACCAAAAAUUAGAGGAGCCAUCUAACAAGUCUUUAGCAUUUCCAAUUCCUCUCACCACCAAUUCUUUUAUUAGUUCAACAAGUAGAGGCGACGAUUCAACUCUUUUUGACCCUUUGGUCGAUUGGUUGUGUUAAAACUAGUUAAACUAGGCUCGAAUUGGCUUCCGGAACUGUUCUUUCUUCUUUAUCAUUGGUUCCUGCGUUUUGGUUCCGUCACUUCCAAUAUAGGUGGUUGUGAGGCUGUCUACAUCCUUCAUUUCAUAAUCAACCAAAACUUGACUCUAAAUUCGCCUAAAUCUACACUAUGACUGUCAGACAAUACAAAUUCUUCAUUAUGUUAUGAAUAUUCCAAAAUUCCAUACAUACCAUUGCUGAAAAAGGCUCAAGUCCUCUUCAUAUCUCCAGCAUUCUUAUCCAGCUUUAUAACUACCAAAUAAAAAUUUUUUGAAAACAGCAGCCACAAGAAUCAAGAUCACAAGUACAGAAACAAUCCACCUUACUGUGUAGAAAUUCCACUUCAGUCUCGUUUCAUCAACAAAAUCCUUUGUGACACACCUGUAUCGUCAAAGUUAUACCAAGAAUUUAUUAUAUUAUUGUUGUGCUUAUUGCUCUUAGAAUAUCUAAGUGCUUUCUAGAUCCAAUCAUCCAAAUAUGAGUUUUUUACAUAUCUAAAAUGUAGUCAGCAAGCAAAAUAAGAAAAGAUAGCAUUAUUCGUUCAAACUAAGAAACGUCCCUACCAGAGGUUGGCAGCAUAUAUCAAAACCCUUCUAUUUUUUAAGUGAAUCCUCAACCCUUCUUUUUAUCUACUACUUCCUAACUUCCCAUAUAAGGGAUUGUCUUUUGGGUUGGUUAAAAAGAAGGGUCGUGGAUAAUAUAUAUAUAUAUAUAUAUAUAUAUAUAUAUAUGUUAUCCCUGCUAGAAUCCUUGUUUACCAGUGAAAGCUACAUGACCAACACCAUAACCACCAGCCGUGAAGUGCUACAAUUCCGUUAAAUUUUGUCCACUUCGGUUUUAGUGAAAACUUAAGCCUAAUAAGUUUUGAAUGCUCCUUACAGAUAUUAAUUAAUUAUUUACUUCUUUCAGUUAUAAGCUUAAGGAAGAGUCAGGUUUUAGAUCAAAAUCACAAGAAAAAGUGAAUAAUUAAUGAAUGGAAAUUUUUUAAUGAAGAUCCUAACUCAGAUUUCAUAAGCUUCCAGUUCUUUUGAUUCCACAUUGGCUGAAUUUUGUCCAUCAAUUCUUGUCUGUUCUUGAUCCCGCGUUUGUUUGCUUUCCAUGAGUUUCCUUUUUUCUCCCAUAGCAACAAUCAGUUCCAGUUGCUUUUGUUGCUGUUCCUACACAUUAACUCAUUACAGCAAGUUCCAUCAGUUUUUAACAAACAAUGAAAUCUUAAUAAAAUCACCGUCUUUCUAUAUAAAGCUAACUUCAGGAUCACAAGGGGAAAAAAAAAAAAGAGUACCACAAGAGCAUAAAGAUGUAUCAGAAGAUUCUGUAAUCAAACAAGUUCAACAAAAUCAAGAAUUCCACAAAUCAUAGAAGCCUGUCUACAAUUGCCUAUAAAUUGUGAAAACAGCCUUCAUCCCCUCUCAAACAUCCAUCCAAUAAACAGCACAUAGAGGGUGUUAAUUUAAAUUGUGAAAACAGCCUUCAUCCCCUCUCAAACAUCCAUCCAAUAAACAGCACAUAGAGGGUAUUAAUUUGAAAAUAAUUAAAGAGUUCUGUUUCAGUUAUAAUAAUCAUUUUAAAUUUUACCUGCAUGGCUAGCAAGACUUUUUGCAUCUCAAGGAAUUCUUUUUCAAGAAUAUCUUCUUGCACAGCCAAAGUUCGAGUGUCCUCAGAAUUUAUUUGAGCUAAAACUGCAGUCUUUAAUAGCAUGCAAAUGAUUAGAGGUUUGUGGAAAAUAGUGGGUUAAAAGUCAGAUUUCACACUCAAUCUUAAAGAAAUGAACACACACAAAAAACAAAAUAACAACAAAACAUCCGCUCAAAGUUUCAUAGAAGUUGGGCACAGCGACUGUUGGAAGCAUGUGAACUCAUAAAAAGUAAUCAAAUAAAACUUACUUGAGAAAUGAGAGGAAACGAAAUCAAUUGUAUUGAAAAUUUUCAACAUACUACAAACUUAGUUCACCACUUUCUUUUAAACUGUCUUUUGUUUUCUUGUUCUUCACAUAAUUGCAUCAAACCCAACAAAGAAACCCUACAAUUUUUAGGGAGCACAAUGAAAAAUCUAAACCAUACAAUAAUUCCCAUCCCAUGUAUCAAUAUACAUUGACCUACAUUUGUUUUAUAUUGCCUACAACAAUGUGAAGUUUGGGGUUUGAACCCCAACCCCAAGGAAAAGAGCAAGUGUUAACAAGUGAAUUAUGCUUCAUGUUGGCUACAUAUAUCCACAAUUAAUCAUCUUAAAAGACUUGUUUUUGGUGGACUAGAUUUUUGUAUGCCCUAGUAUUCUUUCAUGAUUUUUUAUCUUACAAAACUAUACACACAUACACUUGAUUAAAUGUUCGCUCGUGUACAUGUAUAAUGUAUCAAGAGUAAAAACAUGUUUAAUUUUCAACAACAAAUAGACGAGCUCAUACAUCAAUUUCCAUCUCUCAUCCUACAUAUUGUUACCUCAGUUUCUCGAAUUCUGCUUACAACCCACAGAAAUUCAGCAUGAUUAUGGAAAUGCUGAAUGCAUUUCAGGUUUAGAUAAACAAAAAAUGGCUAUACAUAUCAUGUUCUCUUCAAGGAGACUGGAUUGAAAAGGUUUAAACCCGAAGGAGAAUAAAACCAACUCAAUUCAUCUUUCAUGAACAUGUUGCAAGUAUCAAAACAGAUCAUAGACAAAAAGAGAGAUAAUAAUACCCGGCAAUUGGAUCCUUCAGUGUUUUUCGUGUAACCAUAUAUCUUAUGCCCAACUUCUCAAGCUUCCGAGACAAACCCCGAAUCACAAUCAUCAAGCUCUUUAAAUCCUCCUCCAAUUUCUCAAACCUAUCCAACAAAUUCACCUUCAACCCAUCACUCGUUUUCCCCCAACUUAUUCGUCUCCAUUGCAACCUUCGAAUCCAGAGUUAAGAACAACCGUAGCCACCAGCAGAGGAAACCCCACACUAAACCCCUAUCACCCAUCAACAUCAAAAUCCCCUUUUUCGAACUAGAACCCACGAAAUUCAAAACAAAAACAACCAAGAAAACAGCAGAAGAGAAGAGAAAAAUGAAUUCCGAAAGCAAAAGAACCGAUUCUAAAUUGAAAUCGCCACUCCGUGCAUUGUCUUCGGAUUCGUAAACUCCAAUGCCGUAAUGGCAAUAAAUCCGGUGGCGGGAAGUUGAAUUGUUAUGAGUGGUCAGUAACUUAUGUGCAUGAAAGUGGAAACGAUUGAGGCUUUGGAGGGAUAAAGAUGAAAAUGAGGGACAGAAGUGAUUGUUGUUUCUGGGAAGGGAGUUGGUGAAGGAACAAAGCUUCAGACGGUUGGAACAUCUGAAGAGAUUUUGAGAAGGCAGUAACAUUUGUAGAGAAAUAGAGAGAAGAAUUUGAGUUUGUUGAAGAGAUUCCAAAGCUUCUUCUGAAGAACAAAGAUAGAUUAGAGCAUCGUUACCAUCAAUGGAGAAUUUUGGUGAUUCAGGCGCUUAUAGCAAAACAGGAACGAUUUUGAAGCAUCUGAGGAAACGAGAAUAUCGAAGCUAUCAUCAGAUUAUCUAUUUGAAUAACUAAAGUAUGCUAAAAUGAGCAUGACUCUAUCGAAUUUGAAAGCAAGGUGUUUAAUCUUUCGUUCAAUAUAUUAUCCAAUUUUAUAUAUUAAAGUUGCAUGAUCAACAAAAUGUCUCUAAUUUUCCUAACAAAGUCAUUUAAUUAUUUGGAGUAAGUUCAAGUUAUAUCAAAUUUCCCCAUCUUCAGCUUCAUCAAUUGGCUUGUGAGUUUAACAAUUUGUUCAAAUUUUACCUUAUGCAUUUUUUAUAGUUUUAAAUUUACUCACUUUUUGUUCGAGUGAUUUGGAAAAGGGGUAGUUUAAAAAAAAUAGGAAAAAUGGAUGAAAUUUGAAGGUGAAGUUGCGCGGCUGUGAAGGAAACGUUGAUGAAAGAUUGAAGAAAUAUAUUAGGGAGUUUUCUUUUGUUACAAGUAAAUUUACAAGCUAAGUUUUACGGAAGAAAAAAAGAGAAGGAUCGCGGAAAGUAAAGGAACUCUCCCUUGUCAAAUCAACUCUCUUGUAACUAUUAAAUUUCUUUCUCUUGUCACGUCUAUUAAAUACAUUCUGAUUUCUUUUGCUUUUUUGAGUCUCUUCUUCCACCUUACUAACUUUUCAAGAGAAGCAUUCUAAUCAAGCCAAAAUUUUAGCUAAAUAGUUUUCAAAUCAUCCAUCUUUCUCAAUUUUUUUUUAAUCCUACCCUUUUCCAAAUCACCCCUCCUUCCUAGACCAUACCCCAACUUCUUUUUAAAACUCCCUCAUUUUUAGUUUGUAUUACCAAAGGAGUUUGAAUGUGGAAGAGAGAGAAGUGUAAAAGCAAGACCAAAAACUAAAAUGCAACACUAGACAGACAAAAGAUAGUGAUUUAAGAGAAAAUAAAUGGAGGAAGAGAUUUCAUUUUGCGGACAAGAGAUUCCAAAAUAGAUAAAAAGGUAAGUAUAUGAUCAAUUAGCGAAGUCCUAAAACAGAGCAUCAUCACCCAAUUUAGAUCAAAUUAUCUUUUUUCCAUGAAUUUUCUCGAUGAAAAUGUAGCAGUGUACUCUAUAAUUGAACCAUAAUUUUUUUUAAUAUCGUUGAGUUUAUGCAAUUUAGUAGAAGCAACGAUAACCUAACUUUUUUUCCAGCAAUUAUUGAGAAGAAUCAUUAUCAAACGCAAGCACCCAUUUGAAUCGACUUUUUGGUGUUUAUAAACUUUUUUUUUUAGCAUUUACAAACAUUUUUUUUCACAUAUAAACACUAAAAGGUUAAUUAAAACGCCCCCUUAAAACUGGACAGCAUCAGUGUAUUAUGAACGAGUAAUUAGGCAAAAAUAUAUAUAUAUAUACUUAUUGAAACGGCAAAGUAAUUUAUAUCCAAGAUAACAAAAGCAAUAGACAGAUAACAAUAUAACAUGAAUAUAGACAUAUAUCCUUUCUCUAUUCUCUCGAGGAUCAAAAGCAACUGCCAACUCUUUCAGGACAAACUUAUUAAACCUGAACAAUGAUGUGGCAUCAUCUAAUAAUAAGGCAUGUUCAUGGACCUACGAAACCGGGGCAUCUUCCUGCAUUGGGAUAUUGAAGGAUCAAGAAACUGGCAGAAUCAACAAUUUCCAUGACAAUGCAAGAUUAGGAAACUAGAAACUGUACCCGUAUCCAUAAGGUGAAUAGAAAUAUGGUGGUGCAUAAGGUCUCCUAAAUCCCACGUACGGGUUAUAGCGACGUGCACGAUAUUGCUUCAUACCAGGAACAUUUGUUCUCUUGGGCAAAACCUGGAAUGGUGUAAUCAAGCAAAUAAUGUCAAUAUUGGUCAGAGUGAUAUUGAAGUUCCCAAGCGUUGCAUGAUAUCUAUCUGGUUGAAGUAAAUUACAAAUUUGUUCCUAGGGUUUGUGAAAUUGAAGUGUUAGAGUAAAGAUAGAAUUUAGUCUCUAUAGUUUUGACAAAACCUCACAGACAGUCCCUAUUAUUUGAUAAAAUUCUCAUAAAUGUCUUUAUCGUUGAACCUAUCUGUGAAGGUUUUAUGAAACCGUAGGGAGUAAAUAUUAAUUACGAACCAUUACGACUCAAUUCUAACAUAACUAACAUCACUCAAACCCUACGACCAAAUUUGAAAUUUAACCUAUAUCUAUCUAUUCACACCAAACCAAACCAGUGAACCAGAAAGGUUUCUCCUUCCAGAAAUUUCCUUUUUUUUUUUUUUUGUGAACGAAAAACCUUUUUAUUUUUUAUGGAAAACCUAGAGAAUGGAAGACUCACCUUCAGUUGCCGCCCAUGUAGCUCAGAUUCAUUCAGAACGAGAGCCUCUUGAACAGCUUCAGCUUCAAGAAAUUCUACAUAGGCAAAGCCCUUCGGCUGACCAAAUUUAUCAGUUAAAAUAGUCACUCUGUUGACAGUACCACAGGAUUGGAAAUGCUGUUGCACUUCUUCGGGUGUGCAUGCAUAGUCAACCUUCAAAACAAGGACGUUGAUUGUUGAAGUAGAGCUUUGAGCAUAAAAUAGUUAAGUUCUAUAAAAGUGAAUACAAAGCUAGUGUUCUCUGUUCGAAGAACACAUCAGACAGCAAUAAUUAAGUUAGUAUGUUUUAAAAAAAAAUCUUAUGAUUGUUGUUUAGCUUUUAAUAUAAAUAUAAAUACUACUUACUUUUUCAGUGACUUAAUUGUUUGUUCUUAAUAAAGUUUUACGCUAAGAAGCUUUGUACAAAAACAAAAACAAAAAGCAAACUUCAUCACAUGUAAUCAACAAGGCUUGGGGAUAAAUACACCAGAGCAACAUUAAGAAGUAAUAAACUUCCAAUGGCAUGGGAAGUGAAUCAGAAAUUAUUAACUAUGAACAAAUCACCAAAUCACCACGAAAAUCCAACUCAUAUGUUCAAUGAACAUAUGUAGAAGUAGCAGUCAAUCAGAGGCAUGAGAUUCACAUGGCAGAUGCAUGUCCAAGCAUGCCUCCCUCUGCUAAUAGAUCAAUUAUAAGUAGUAGAAAACAGUUCCACAUUAGAUAUGAUUGAGAAUGAGGUAUUUAUUCUUCAACAUGGAGGAUUUCUCACAUUAAUCUUAGUUCACAUAGUUUUGAAAUAAAAUUACCACUAUGAAACUAGAAGACUCUCUGCCGGAAGAUGACAGGUUGAGUUUCUAACUAAAAGGAAAAGUCUAGAUUAAUAAAUAAAUCUAGUAAAAUUUUCUAAUAUGAAGAAAAGGACUAAUAGUCUUUCAAAGAUCACCUGGUUAAGGUGAAAUGCAUGCAUUAAAAUCCAACAUUUGGUCUAACCGAGUCAAAUGAAGCACAAACUAGAAAAAUAAUUCCACAAAAAAGCGUUUAUCUUACACCCUCGCCUCCACCUUUUAGCUCAUUUGUGAGACAAACGAUAAUACUGCGAGCAUUGACAAGGCUCUGCAACUAAAAUUGCAUGCACUUGACUCGCCUCUGCUUCCUCGGAGACAUUUGAGUUGUCACCUAGAGUUGAGCCAUCGACAUCAUUAUUCCACAUUUAACGUCCCAGCCUCCAAAGCGCAUGUUUUACAGCAACAUAAGUUCUACUAGCAACAGUCCCUUUGUUCUAAAUGCAACAACUCACUAAUGGUUUUUGAUGUUUCAGAUUCUUUUUCUUUUUUUCUUUCUUUUUCUCACUGAUUUUUUCCCAUUAUACCAGUAUUUCAACCAUCGUUCACAGUUUUCUUCUUUCUUUCUAUUCUUCUUCCUUCUUUUUUUUUUCUUUUUGAAUUUUUGCAGAAAUUCCUCAUUUCAAUAACAUUUUUCCACAGAUCAAAUAACUAAAAAGUUUUUCUCAAAUCUAAAGAACAUCAGUAGGACAUUUUUCUUCUCACAUUGCCAACAAAUACUGAUCGUGAAUCAGUCUCCUCCUUGCCUGCUUGACUAGCUGAUGUACCAGCAGGAUCUGCAUCAAACAUAACAACAAUAGGUAAAAAGAUAGGCCAAAUUGGAGAAAUUAUAGAAACAAACUAACUAUAAUACCAUACUUUAAAAUUCAUCCAGUUUAAGAAACUUUCAACCAACAUGAUCGCAUAAUUCAAUAUUGGUUUCUGUCUAAAACCAUAAUCACAUACGAUUAUUACUCCCCUAGGUUACAUAAAACUAAACACAAGCUUAAACAUAUUCUAAAAUUUAAAAGUAACAAUUACGAACCAUAAUGUCAAGAGUUUUGUCAACCUUGCACAGCUAUGUGGUAAUAUGCUAGCAAUUUGCAAGAAACGAAACAGAUAUGUGGUAAUACUAGCAAAUAUAUCACAACAACACAUCAAAAUUUCAAGCCCCAAAUCAUCGCUUACAACAUCACAAUCCAAAUUCAAGAGAUUCCAUGACUAGAUGUUUCUAAACGAAAACAAUAAUGCGUAAUCAUGAGAAAACAACCUUGCACAGCUCCCAUUUCUUUUUCAACCUUGGCCUGCAUUUCUCGAAGAGCCGCUGCUUCUUCCUCCAUUCCUUCAAGCGCUUUUUCAUCUCGUCAAGCUCCUGAAAUACAUAAACGAUCACAAUUGUAAUUCUUCUGAUUCUCUCCAAAGCACGAGAACCAGAAAGAGAAAGAACAAAUGGCAACCUUGACAGCGUCGUCGUCGCCGGCAGACAUGUCAACGUCUCCUUCCAUCUCCCCUUCAACUGGGAUUUCUCCACCGUAUACCUCGUGCUCCUCUUCCUCCAUAUCUCGUUCGCUCACAAUUCCGCUUUGGUUUCUAGAAAUCUCCUCGUUCGAUGCGUAGAACUGCAUAGAAUCGGAAUUGUUGGGCCCUUAAAAGUUACUUCACUUCACGGCCCAACGGCCCAACAUUGGCCCAUUUAGGCAUAAUGAUGGUGGCAAAUUAGUAAAAUUAAUUUAAAUAACAAACACAUGUUGAUUACAUUUGUUAUUUGUUUACAAGAUGAUUAUUACGUUUGUUUAGUUUACUAAUGUAGUCAUAAUAAAACGUUGGGUAUAUAAUUAAAUACAUAAUCAACAAACACAAUUUAAUUGUGAAGUUGAAAAUUAUCAAUUCGGUUACGAUAAUAGCAAUGAUAAAUUUAUAAAAUGAAAUAUGCAUUUUCUUGGUACUUUCCUCUCAGAGGUGUGUGAUUUAUGGACCAAGGAAAUUUCGAGUUCAUAUUGCAAUACAAAGUGAGAGGAAAGAAACUUUAAUCUACAAUCCUUCUAACUAUUCAAUAUUUGUUCAAGUCAACCAUUCGUGAACAAAUUCAUAGUAUUAGAUUGUAUGAACAACUUUUCAUACGACCUCCAUUCAUUAAUUAUCAUACAAAAAGUUUAUGGCGUGCCCUUUUUCUCUUGUCAUAUUCUAAUAAGGUACAGUUACUGCAUGCUCACCUAUGUAAUAAAGGGAUAUGUUAUAAGAAAUACGAGCGUAUCUUGCGUUGUAUUUAUCUUUGUGCAUUUCACUAUCAUGCCUAAUUAAAAAUUGUCACGUAUGAAAUUUCCUUUAUAUAUAUGAAUAUAUUUUUCAUUUUGUGAUUUUAUAUAUGCAUAUAAAUGGGUGGAGGUUGGACUUGUAGAGGGAAUGAUUACUUGUGAUGAAUUUUUCUAGCACUAUAAUUUUAUCUACAUAAAUAUUAUUUGUGGACUUCAUUUUAAUAUCGUCAUAUUUUAAAAAAUACAUUAGUGUGAGAUACAAUAAAUAGACUCUUGAUGUGAGUGUGUUUGACCUAGUAGUGAUAAAGCAAAAAGGAACGUUGAAAGUGAAAAUCAACCUAAGAUGAAGUGUGAAUUAUUAUGGUUCUACUUUUCCCACUUCCCUUUCAUUCUUUUUGCCUUGUUGGUUGGCUAUGCUUGGCUUCCUUUACUUGUAAGUUACAACAAACUUCACUUUCUUCUUACACUUCUAUGACUCAACUUUCUAGAUUUAAUUUUUGUAAUAUAUAUGUACACAUAUACGACUUUUUUAACUCGAACAAAUACACGAGUUUUAAUUUUAUCAAAUUAUACCUUGAGUUUCAAAUUAAUGUCAGCAAUUUUACUCUUUGAUAAAUUUGGCAAAUGAAAAUGAAAAUGUCUCAUACAAAUACCUCCAUUAGUAUGAGAUAUUUUGAUUCGAAACUAAGUUUGAAACCAAAAGUAAAAUGACCAUGAGGAUUUGUUAUACCUGAAGUUGACAGUAUCACACCAUUACCAAAAGAUAAAUCAAUUAGAACUAUUUUUCUUUUUUGUUAAAUUUUUUUUCUUAAAACAAAUGAGUGGAUUCCAAAAAUAAGAAGAAGCAAUACCAAAAUCACUGGUCUAAUGAUAAUAAUCAAAAUAUGAAAGACAUAGUAGGUCAAAUUAUAGGCCACCUUAUUACAACAUAACUCAAGUCGGCCACAAACACAAUUUAGCAAAGAAUAAGUUUUAGCACAAACUACCCAAAAAUAGGAAGGGAUGAGAGAAAGAAACAUAGAGAAGAUUUUAACCACACCAUUAACAUCGAUACAAGUCAAAUCACAUAAAAGUGAAUCUUCUCUACAAACCUAUCUCGAUCGGAAUGGCCAAAUUUUUUCUCUAACUUCUACAUCUACGUGUCCCAAAGCAAAAGUAAAGUUUAGGCAACAACCAAAUUACCACUUCUAUUUCUCAAGAUAUCAAACCCAAAUCAAUUCCCAUUUUGUUAGGGUGAUACACAACAUGAACGUUGAGUCACCACACCUAUUGUCACAGGACACUAUCUAGACAAAUGAGCAAUGAUAAACUUAGUCGUAACACCAACACCAAUAAUCUGGAACCCAUCCUAGUUCUUUAAAUGGAUUGCACAUCAACCCUAACCAAAAUAGAACAAAGAACAAAAUCUACCACAUCCCAUGAAAUUUUAAAGGAAUAACUAUAAAUCUACCCACCAUACUAUGGGGAAGCACAACCAAGAUGAAAUUAUUCACCUUUCUAUGAUCCUCCAAAAUCGCCCAAGAAGCAACACCAAAACCAUUGGGAUUUGUCCUAAAAUUCGUAGAUAGUAAAUAUAAUUAAUUGACCGUUAUUUAUUAAUAAAAUUUUAUUAUUAUAAUUUCAAUUAGUGUUAUUGAUUAUAUUAUUAGUUUUGUCUCAAUAACCUAAAUCAAAUAAACUAACAUCCUAAGUUGUUUGAGGAGUCUUGAACAGUAUGUAGAGACAUACAUGAAUCAAUGUUCGAGAUAAACUUAAAGGUCUAUAGUAUAGAGAUAAAGUUGGGUAGAUUAUCCAAGUAACACUAUGGAUACGACUCACUUUGUAUUUGAUACAAAUGCAAUGAUUUAAUGUGUUCGUGUAGGUGAAAUGUGAGUGAAGGUAUCUUAUUCAAUGAGUUUGCAUAAGACUGAACCACGAAAUAGUAACCACUAGAUGUAACUCUGUUAACUAGUUGAGUUUUUAUUAUUAGGAUGACCUAGGUAACUUAAUUUUAGUACUGAGUGUAUUUAUGAACUCCUGUUCGCGAGGAUUGUCCUUUGAUUUGUACGGGUGAGAGAGGCCAAAUUGUCGACUUAAUAUGCUUAUCAUUUUGAGAACAAGACCAAGUGGGGAGCUAAGAACAUAAUCACACAAGGUGGAAUUCACUUCUUCCCGACUUUAGGAUAAGUAAAUGAGUGUUUCCUUAAAUGAUGUCUCUAGGACUUGAACAAAAGGGUCUAUCCACUCUAUGGCACGAGAGAGGUUUAUGUUUAUUAGUUGAACCAUAAAUAGGUUGUUCAUUAGAGGAGCACUGGUAUUUAAGGACUAGAAGUAACUUAGUGAUAAAAUAGUAAUUUGACCCAGUUGGUGUUACGAACACUCGUGAAUGACUAACUUACUGUUAUUGGUAUAUAUGCAUUGACACAAAAUAUAUCUACAGUAAGAAGAGUUCAAAUGUGAAUCUAGUGUACACACAGUUAGCGAACAUUGAUUAAUGUGGUUAAUGAAUUUAGCCAAUUAAUCUUAUAUCGUUUUAACUUCUGAUCUAUAGGUUCAUUAGAUCUUCUUCCUAGCUCGUAAAGGGUAAUGAAAUUUAUUUAUAUUGGUUGUAAUUUGAAAUGUUCAAAUUUACUUUAGGAAUUAAUAUAUUGUAUGGUGAUACAUUAUAAUAUAAAGUUUAUAUUUUAAUUAAACUUUAUUAUAUAGAUUUAAUUUUGAAUAUGAUUCCUAAUUAAUUUAUAAGAGAUAAAAUAUUUGAAUGAGUUGAACUAUUAAUUUAAUGUGAAUUUGAUUCGUAUUAAAAUUAUUGGUAACGAGAGAGAAAUUUAUAUUUGGAUAUGAUUCAAAUUUGAGUAAAAUUAAAUAUAAGAUAUUUAAUUUAGUAAUUGAAGGAUCAAUUAAUGUUUUUGUUUAAUUUUAUUAAAUUAAUUAAAUUAAAACUAUAAAAUAUACGAGAGAUAUUCAUUAAAUAUGUUUUAAAUAGAAUAUUAAUUAAAUAUGAUAUAAUUAAUAAUUAAUUUGAUAUUUCUAUUAAUUUAAUAUUUUUAAAUUAAUGGAAUCUUCUGAUUCUCUAGAAGAGUGAGUUAUAAAUACAAAACAAGUUUUUAAACCUAAGUCGUUGCUUGCAAAUUGUAUCAGAAAUUCUCUCAAAACUUUUUGUCAUUCUAAUGAAUUCUCACAAACCAAUCUCAACCUAGAGGAUAUAAAGGUCUCCGACGAGUAAUGUCUCAAAUUUGGUGAUUUGUAGAUUCAGAGACGUCGUCAAGAGUAAAUUCCUCUAUUCUAUAGUUCUCUAAUCUAUAAUUUGUUUAAACAUAUGUUUAACCUUAGUUAAAAUUAUAAGAAAAUUUGUUUAUGCAAUUGUUUAACAAUUUACAAUAAUUUUAAGUUUCAAAUUAAAUUAAUGUAAGAUCUCCCAUUGCUUUCGUUUCGUUCCUUCAAUAAAACAAGUACAUAGAUUAACUUACUCUAUUUAGACGAACCAACGCAUUCACCAAAACAUUACUACAAGACUACAUGCAUCCCUCCCAACAACUAUCUAACCUCAAGUAACACCCCACUCCAAAACUCUGAAUUCCUCCAUCAUUGCUCAAAUUCACAAUCUCUCCCCCAAUAACACACACACACACCACAUCUCAAAGAAAGAAAGAAAACAAAAUCCUUUUGAAAGAAACAAGAAACCACCCAGGCCUAAGCCUUUUUCCAACAGAAACCCAAAUUAGGACCUUCAUUCAUUGGAGGAGGAAGAAAUUGCCUAUUUAAAAGUUUUCUUUACACAAACUAAACCAUAUGUCAACAUUUGGAAUCAUAUGUAUCCUAAACUCGUGGUUCCCACCUUCCAUUUCCCUUACAAAAAUAUUAACUUAACAUUUUAUAAUAAAGCUUAAUCAAUCCCAUAAUUACUUUACAAUUUUAGAAAAGUAAAUGGAAUCUCCAUAAUGCCCCCAUUCACCACUCAUACUUCGACACGCGUUCAUUAUUAAUUUAUUUGACAAAAAUAUUUAGAAAAAAACAGUCAAAGUAAAUAUUACCAAAUAUGACAAAUAAUUAGUAAUAUCAAAUGGUUAUAAGAUUAUAAAAAACUAUCAAUUUUUAAUUUGCUACUUUCAUAAAAGGAAUGAAGCAUUAAUGUGUCAAAUAGGAAAUAGGAAAUAGUUUUAUUUAUAUUUUAAAUUUCAAUUAGUCAAUUUAUCGUUACUCAUUUUCAAACAAAUGUCUAUGUUUAUUUAUUAAUUUAGAAGGAUUAUGAAUGACAAUUUCAAAUUUACUUUUAAGUGAUGAAAUAUAGUGAAAUUUAAUUUAAACAUCACUCUAACUAUUUUAAAUUUAUUAACCUACGUAAAUACAAAAAUAAGUAUUUAGUGAAAAUUAAUAAAUAUUUAGUGAAAAUUUGAGGUUAAGAACGUAGAUAUUCAACCAAAUUGAAACAAAAUAUAAAUGUAAAAAUAAAAGUCUAAUAUUUUAGUGGAGUUUUUCAAAAAUAUAAAAAAGUACAACGAGGAAAUAGUAAAAAAUAGUAAAUUCGACGAAAUAUUUUCCAAAAUUUUGCUAUAACUUAUAAAUAUUUUAAUUUAUUUUACUAUUUUAAAAAAUGACCAAACUAUUUACUAUGCAAUUUAAAUAGAUUGUCCAUUGCCAUUUUUUUUUAUAAUUCAUCUAUUUUAAUUUUAUUAAAAACUAAAUUAAAAUCAAAAUAUGAAAAAGUUGGUAGAAAAGUUGUAACCUCAAUCUUAGGAAUUAAAUAAAAGGGACAUUGCAAAAAUAGCAAAAAAAAAAAAUUUAUGAUAAUAAAAUUCACUUCAUUACAUUUUUAAAUUAUAAAAAUAAUUUUAAAAGUACAUAAAUUUAUUUUUAGUCCUCCAAUAGCUCUAUAUGCAGGUUCUAAUAUUCCUAAUUUUGUCAUAGCUAAAGUUGAUGCAUGAAAGGAGGCAAGGACCAAAGAAAUGGCAAUUAUUGGCCAUCCUUAGCCCAUAUAGCCUUUGUCGUCUAUAACUUGCCAUUGCCAUUGCUAUUGUGCUCUGCUAUAAGAAAGCUUUCCAACCUAAACAACUUUUUUAGUGAAUACUGAAUGAAUUCUAUUCCCAACGCGCAACCAAUGGCCAAUACCUUCUUCCCUCUCUUCCUCUUCUUCCUCCUCUUCCACUUUCCAUCCCUUUCUCCGGCCAAACUCCAGCUCAAUUUCUACUCCAACUCAUGCCCUCAGGCCGAAGCCAUAGUCCGUUCUGUGAUGCACAAAGCUUUCAUCAGAGAACCUCGUAGUGUCGCCUCCGUUAUGCGUUUCCAGUUUCACGAUUGCUUUGUUAAUGUAAUUGAUCCCCCCAACUGUUCGUUCUUUUGGAUUUUGCUUUUUUUCUUUACCUGUUUGGCUUCUGAAUCGGCGUUUCCUUUGUCUAAUUCAGGGCUGUGAUGCUUCUAUGUUGCUAGAUGAUACGCCGACGAUGCUUGGAGAGAAACUCUCUCUUGCUAACAUUAAUUCGCUUAGAUCUUACGAAGUCGUUGAUGAAGUGAAAGAGACUUUGGAGAAGGUUUGUCCUGGCAUUGUUUCUUGUGCAGAUAUCAUAAUUAUGGCAUCCAGAGACGCUGUCUUUUUGGUGAGUACUUCCGUUUCUUCUACCUCUCUGUUUUUUGUGCUAUGAAAUUCUUAUUGGAGCCUGAGAUUUGUUUUUCUUGAUGUUUAUCUUCUUUGCUUUCGUUUUUCACUCUCAAUCCUUCUCCUAAAAUCCACAAAUCGAAAUUCCGAAAACACAAGAAAGAGGAACGAAUCAACCAACACUGCCUUUCAAUUUAACAUUUCAGUUCCAUUAAUUCCACUUAAUUGUUUUGAAAUUUUUGCUACCAAACAACAGUCCAAAUUUGAGUGAACUCCAUUUUUUAAAACGAUUUAAUAUAGAAUUUGAAUACUUCGUGAUAAUCGUUGGAUUUUAAUUUAAAAAGAAAUAUUUAGGAUAAGAAGUAGAACAUUGAAUUGAAAAGUAAGAAUUUAUAGAAUCAGAGAGUAUUUCUACCGUAUAAGAAAGAGCGGAGUAAUGUGUAUAUAUGUAUUAUAAAAAUCGAACUAUUGUUAUAUCUUUUACCCUACAACAAAAGAAAGUUGUAUGAGACAUAGAAAAUCAGACCGACAUGAUGUGACACCAUUUUUCAACUUAAAACACACGAGAGAAUAUUUUUAGCAUAUGAUAUUUUUUUAUCUUCGAAAGAGAGAAAUCAACUUUCAUGCAUGUUUCCUAAUUCAGUCGAUCUAAGAUGGGUAGAAUUAUUAUUUUCAUUUUUAAAUUGGGUUCAUUUUCUCUUAAUUCCAUGUUCAUAGUUUUCUCAUUCUUAGUAAAAAAUACUCCUAAAAUAUAGACAAUCAAACAUCGUCCUAAACAAUGGUUGUGAAAUGAUGUAUAUAAGCUUAAGUUUAAAAAAUCAAAAUUCAAAGAGUUACGAAAUGAGGUGUAAGUGAUGAGAAAAGUAUCACAACUAUUUGUAUGGUUCAUAAGUUGUUUGAAAAGAGUUAAGUGGGAUUGAUACCUUGUACUGAAUUAGUAAGGUACCCAAUAAUAAUAGUAGCUUGUUAAUAAAGCAGAGUUGGACAGUAACCCUUGCAUAAGCAAGUAACUUCCAAUGGUUUAAAAGCUCCACCAACAAUCCUGCCAAAAAUUCAUAACAAACUGGUCCAUCCCCAUCCUCCCACCCCAACUACUUUUCCAAAUGUCAUCCUCUUGCUCAUUUUGUCAAGAAUUCACGUCCAAAGAAAUCAAAAUAUAACCACUUUUAUUAUUGAUUGUUUUUAACCCUAUCGAAUCUAAAUUCAUUAAGCUAAAAUAAACAUAACUCAAUCGAUUCACAUUUGAAUUAUCAACUUAGAAUGUUCGAUCUUUCACUUAUAUGUCAUAAACAAGAAAGAAAUAAAUUCAUUAAGUCUGAAGGAAUAUAUUCAAUCUGAAAACAAAAAUAAGAUAAUAGGAUGAAGUUAUGAGCUAUUUCUCUAAUUUAUAAUUAAUUUUGAGAUGAAAUUCACAUUUUUAUGAACAUAACUUGUAUUUAUUCAGACAGGCGGCCCUGAUUGGCCAGUAGAACUGGGACGGCUGGACAGUUUAACAGCAAGCCAAGAGGACUCGGACCAAAUCAUGCCAAGUCCAAGAGCCAAUGCAACUUCUCUCAUUGACCUUUUCAGCAAAUACAACCUCUCCGUCAAAGAUUUGGUAGCUCUUUCAGGUUCGCACUCAAUUGGCAAAGGCCGAUGUUUCUCCAUCAUGUUUCGACUCUACAACCAAUCCGGCACAGGACGACCAGACCCAGCAAUCGAGCCUAGGUUCAGAGAAGAGCUCUUCAAGCGAUGCCCUCAUGGCGUGGAUGAAAAUGUGACACUCAACCUUGAUUCCACACCUUACGUUUUUGACAAUCAGUACUUCAAGGACUUGGUUGGUGGGAGGGUUUGUUGAAUUCUGAUGAAACUCUUUACACAUUCGGUGAAACUAGAAAGUACGUGAGGUUCUUUAGCAAAAAUCAAAGUGCAUUUUUUGAUGCAUUUGUGGAAGGUAUGUCGAAGAUGGGCGACUUGCAAUCUGGCCGGCCGGGGAAGUGAGAAGGAACUGUCGGGUAGUGAAUGGCCAAUCUGUGAUCAUAUAAACAAAGGUUUUUUUUUUUUUCUUUUUUCUUUUUGUGUCUGGUAUAUGGUAAAAAUUUGUUCACACAGGUUUGAUUUAAGUUGAUGGGAUGUGUUACUAUCAGUAUAGGAGAAGUAUCUAUUGUAAAAGUUCCGUUAUUUACAGAUGAAUGACAACCAAAUUUAAAAAAUGCUUGAGACUAUAAUUUUAUUAAAAUCACUUCUAAACAUGCUUUUGAUGAACAAUAACAAUGGAGAAUUCAAACUAAAGUUCUACGAUUUACUAACAAUAGAUUAAUUAUAUUCACACACAAACAAAUAAUAGUUUAUUAUUUGAGAGAAAUAUCAAAUUAGAAAUAAAAAUUGAGACUCCACCCGUAAUUCUCCCUACUCAUUGGGAUAGACUAAAGUAUUAAACAUCUAAGCUUUAAGCUUUAAUAUUUAGAGUACAAAUACACAAACAAUUUAGAGUACACAGUUUUAUCUGUUUUUCUAAAUGAAAAAUCUUUUUAAAAAAUGGAAAUAUUUAGAGUAUGUUUCACUUCAACAAAUAUCAUUUGUGUAGCAAUAUGAAAUAUGUUUCCAAAAAUUAUUUUUGAAUUUUACCAUUCUAACUCUCCAAAUACAUAAACAAUAUCUUUCAUGUUUUCAUUAUAUUCAAAUUUUAAAAUACAAGAUUAUAUUAAACAAAAAUUAAUUGAAACAUUUAAAUAUGUCAAAUUAUAAAUUCAAUUUAUUUUUAAUUUUUUCUAUUAAAUAUGUAAAUAUUUUACUAUUUUUAACCAUUUUUUAAAAAUAAAUACAUUUUAAACAAUUAUUUAAAUAAAAAUUCAAUUUUUGAACAUUUUGGUAUCACUAAAUACACUUUAUUUUUUCCUUAAAUUAAUCUCUAAAUUUUCCCAGCAUUAUUUAUUUGAAAGUUGCAAAUAUAACAAUUAUAUUUAAAAUAAUUGUCUAUUAGGAAUUGUAGACAGUACUGUAUUUAUAAUUUUUUAAAAAUAUUACUGCAUAUUAUAAUUACCUUAAAUUUAUUUUGAAUAGUAGAAAAUGAAAUUCAAGGUGGGCAGGAAGUGUGGAGUAUAUAUAUAUUAUUGUUUCAGAUUUCAGAAAACAAAUUUAAAAGACGAGUUGAUUGCGAGUCAUCAAAUUUGUGGGUGAGAACGAGAAGAAAGGGAAAACAAUGGAAGAACUAAGGAAACUAGAACAAGUACAUACACUCAUUACAUUAAUGGACUCCCGCGGAAUCCCCAUCACUUCUUCUUCUUCCUCCAAUCGAUUCAUUGCCAAUUUCCUUCUCCUUUUGUACUUUCUCACUCAACUUCAUCUCUGCUUUACGUUCUAAAUUCCUCAUCCAAUUUGAACAUUUCAAUUCCUCCACUUCCCUAGUAAAAUGUAUGUUUCUUGAUUGCAGCUUGAUUUAUUGGUGCUGAUGAAUCGUUGUUCUGAUGUGAGUUUGUUUCAUAAUUGAAUUGUAUUUGUAUGUUAGGUGCAACCAUGUGGAGAGCUUGACUUUGACGAUAAAUUCGAUUUGGUUUCUGAAUACAUGCCUGAAGGUGAGUGCAAGCUAAACCACUGAUGACUUUGAUUCAUUUGACUCCUGCCCAUCAACUUUUCUUUUGUUCUACAGUUUUCGGAAGAGUUUCUUGGCGAUGUAUCAUUGCUGCUUGGCGAUGAUGAGGUACUAUGUUCUUAUGAUUUUUUUUUUAAGUACAACAAUUGGGGUUGGAUUCAAACCUCCACCUCUAGGAUGGAAUGUUAUGUCAAUUAAACUUAGCAGCUUGCUUUGAUAUCUAUUCUUAUGAUCUAACUGAAAUGUAGAUGUAGAUCAAUAAAAUAAGGAAAGGUGGAAUGAUUUUGUUUAUUGGUAUUUGUUGUAGGGUUAUAUUUGAUGUUUAAUCUUGGAGAGAGAUUUUAUUUGUUUGUUGCGGAGGUAGUGGCCCUACUAUUGAUUGGUUGCUAUGGUUUAAUUUGUUUUCAGACUAUAGGGGAAAGGAGAUGGAAAACACUUUGCAGCCUUAUUGUGACAAUAGCUGGAUCUUGGUUCCCAGAACUAUUGUGGGAAAUGGCUAUGGUUGGCUUGAUGCAAUGCAGCGUGCAAAUUCUACACUUGAAGAUUUUGUAAGUGCAUGGUAUAGACUUUUUAUUUUUGUUUUGAAUCUUUGAUUGAAUAUUAAAUAUUUUGGGGACUUCCAUUGGCAAAUACCUCUGAUGGCAUAUGGUCGUUCGGCAGCAUAUAUGGUUCAGACCUGUGGAUGGGCUGGGCUGGGUUGGUCAGUCUCUUCCUUGCUGUCCCCUCUUUGUUUCCAAAGUAAGGGGUUUCAAAUUAGCUGAGUGCAGGACUCUUUUGUAGCAAUAUUCCACUAGUAAAUCAGUUGAUGGAGAAAAGCUAAGGUUUUAGGGUUAGUGGGUCUAACUGAGGAACUUGGAGGUGCUCACCGAAGAAUUCACUAUUGCUGAUUUUGUGACGAACUGCUGGUAUUUCCUCUCCAACACAUUGGAAUCUCAGGUUUAGAAGUAAGAAGCAGACACUUUGAUUUGGCUAGGGUGUCCGUGUUUGACACGUUUUAGACACUUGUACACUCUGAUACUUGCUGGACAUAUAUUGGACACUUGUUAUUGCAGUGGAUGUGCUAGUUACCACUUACUAGUUAUACAAAGGCAAUAUAGGUCCAACAUUGUCAGACAUGUCUAGAACACUUAACUUCGAAUAAAUUUUGGGAACAAAAUGCACCAAAUUCAUUUUUUAAGCAUACAAAUGCAUCAACUUUUUAACUUUGUAUUUCCUUAUAUUAAAAUGGUAUAUAUUUUUAACAAUGUAUAUUUUGUAAUGCUUUCCUAGACUUUUAAAAAAUGAAGUGUCAUGAUGUUUGUGUCGUGUCCUAUGUGUGUGUUGUAUUCGUAUCUAUGCUUCUUAGUUUAGAAGGUGGUUACAUGGAGUGAAAAUUGAGGAGUGGUACAACAUGUCAAAAUUGAAGUUGGAAUCGGUUGGAUUUAAAAACAUUGUCUUCAAAGUGGUUAGUUUGUUCAAUUGAGGGACUUUCUUUUUAUUGAUUUUUUCCUCUUCUUCUGGUCUAAACUGGGAAGGUUUUAUUUAUUUAUUUAUUUACGUGCUGUUGUAAGUCAUUGUUAGAAUUAAUGGGCUUGGCCCAAGGAAGGAUUUACCCUAAUUUCCUAUCCCUUUUAUCAUAAGUCUUCCCUUUUGUAUCUUUUGUUAAUAUGAGAAAUUAAUAAGAGAGCCAAUUGUGGUUUUUCUUCGGUACUUGGGUUUCCAUGUAACUCAGUGUCUAUUUUACUUUACCGCUUUUAACAGUCAUAUUACGGGCUUGUUAGAUGUCUUAUCACCUCUCCCCAUUUUGUAAUCUCGGUUCUUGUUUUAAUUCAGGUCUCAAGGCAUACAAUUACUGUCAUGAUUUUCUUUUCGGAUUUUAGGCCUUUUUCCUUUAAAAUAAUUCUUUUAUGUCUAGAAUCUUUUGGAUUAGUAAACUUAGGCUAUGACAAUUCUGCCAUAUAACAAGCUGACAUUAUAAUUCAUUCUGCAGUUCAGAUCUUAUUUCAUGUUUCACGGAAUGGAUGCAAACAAACCUCAAUCUGUAUUCAAAUACUUUCCCAUUCUGUCAUUUACGGAAAGUUACAUAUAUCAGGUUAUGUCCUACUCUUUUCUUUAGUUGUCUUUGGUGGAAAAUUAGAUGUACAAAGGUUCAAGGAUAAUGUUGCAGUUAAGAAAAAAAAAAAUUAAAGAGAAAGAGAGAGGGAGAAGAGAAAAAACUCUUCAAUGAUUAAUACGAAGGUUGGAGGAUGUUACAUCAAUUGUUUCUUAUUAAGAAAAACACAAAGAAAGAAAGAAAGUAAGAAGAAAUGAAUUUGAAUUUUGCUUUGGUCUCAAUGUAAACAACUACAGGAAUUAGUGGAUGGAGAAUAUUUGAAUAUCUUUUGCUAAAAUGAACUUUGACAGAAUGAAGAAACUUCAUCCGAGUGUGGUGUGAAUAUAAAUACACGUUUCUUGAAGUAGUACAUCUAUAUAGAGGAGAUCAUUGAUCAUUCGGUGUCAGUUUUGGGUUCAGCUAACUAGUUUGAAGAGGUUCAUUGUUUGGUGAAAUGAACGAAAAAAGUACUGAAAGGAGAAGAUUAAAAAGAAGAGAGGGAGAAGAAAAGAAGAAAAGGAGAAGAGAAGGAAGAAGAAUAGAAGAAAGAAGAGAUGAAGCUAGAAAGAGAAGAGAAGAAAGAUAAGAGGAGCAAAAAGAAGAAAGAAAAGAAGAAAGAAAAGAAGAAGAAAGGAGAAGAAAAUAAAGGUGGAGAAAGGAGAAGAAAAUAAAGGUGGAGAAAGGAGACACGAGAAUAGGAAGAAGUUAUUCCUAAGGAGCCGCAGCAACACAUUGCCACAAAACACACGUUUAUUUAUUUGUUUAUAUUUAUUCUUCUUUUUAAAACAAUUUUUUUGAUGGGCUUUAGCAACUGGCCCAAAUCAAGAUGUAUCAUUAAGUCGACUUACUGAAGCUGGUUCGGUUGGUAAAUCAGAUGGCUCACCUUUUCUAUUUUUGAUGCUCAUGCCCACUUGGCCACUUCUAUAACCCAAUCAUGUCUUUACUAUGAUCUCAGUGACCUUGGGUUCUGUUUUGUUUGUGCAUAAUGAAUUUAUCUUCAUGCUGCAGCUGGACACUUUGAAUGAGAAGAUAGUUUUGGGUGGAUUUGCUUUUGGAGAAUCUCAGGUGUUAAUAGAAUACUGGAUAAGAUGAAACAUGGCAAUUAAGCACUUGUGCAUUUAGCUGACGAACUUUCAUAUGAUUUUUCCACUGAGAUUUAGGAAACAAAUGAAAAGAGCACUAAGAUUCUAAGUGCUAUCAGAUCUGAUCCACUUCAACCACUUAUUAAUCUCCUUAAAUCACAUGGCUUAUUGACAGACAGGUCUGAUGAUUUGCUCCAAACCAUGUUCUUUUCCACUUGAGAAGUUGGGACUUACUUUGAAUGGCAAUAUUGACUUCUUUGUUUGUUCCAAUGCCUAGAUUGGUCCACGAACUGAGAAGUGGAGAGGAGUAUUGGGCCUUGGAAAGGGACCUAUGUGGUGCAUUGGCGAGCAAUGGAAGGUAGUUGUUGUAGUCUUAAUUUAUUUUUAUUUAUUUCUUGUUGGGACUCCUUGUGCUCAUGCUGAUCCCAACUAUUUUGUUUAGGUCUCUAUCGAGGAUGUAAUGCGGGCUAUUCAUCUGAAAUCUUUUGAUUAUAGAGUGUUGAACCUUCUUUUGUAUCAGUUGAGAGGAAAGAAGUAAUUCUUUCUUGUUUAAUAUUUCAUUCUUUUAGCACAACAAUAAUAGGAUAGGAGAUCGAACUUUCCACUUCUAGGAUAGAAGGUUAUGUCAAUUACAGCUUUGGCCAUUUAAUAUUUCAUUUUAGAAGCUUAAUAAUCUAACUUUUCAUGAAGUACUUGCUAGAGAUAAUACAUUACGAUAUGUACUAGUCCUACAGACAAUAUCUGGGGGCUUCCAGUGGUUGAAUUAUAAGCCUAAUGGACUUACCUUCUUGUGUUCUUUAGUAAUUUUGUCAAUCUUCUGAUUUAACUGUGUUUGUUACUAUUUUUUCUUAUAUUAAGUUGUUAACUGAUGUGUUAGCGUUGCAAUUUGUUUUUGAUCUGCUAUCCACCUUACUUUGUUAGUUUGAUUAUGUCGUGCUGAAGUUUUUUUGAAGGUUAAUGACUUGCACAUGGAAUUUCUAUCAAUCUCAGAAUUGCUAGUUGAGAUAGCUGACGAUUUGUAAGUAUUCUUCCCUCUCCUCCUGCUUCCAAGCACUCUGAACAAUCACCCAUUUUGAGUUCUGCUAAUAGGCAAUAGCUUUGCUUGACUCCUGAAUUGAUGUCUACUAAUAAUUAAUUUGAAUAUCAUUUGGCAAGCACAACACUGGUUUCCCUUGAUGCUGGGUUGACUCACUGACUUUCUGUUAGGUUUGAUUAUGAGGUGAGUUUACCAAUUCUCUAAUAUAUUUUCUGACCCUUUUAGCUGCAAAUAAAAGCUAUGAUCUUCAUGUAGGAUGAUGUACUAGAGAAUAAUUUCAAUAUUCUGCGGAUGUUUGUCCGGAUGUAUGGAGCUUCAGCUCCAACAGCGCUGGUGAGUGCUUGAGGUAGCUUUAAUUUCAUUUGAUUUCUGAAGCAGCUCCAAAUUACAUAGAAGAGAUUUGGUGUUAAGCUUAAAAUUGGAAGAUUAAAUAAACACCAAGAUCAAAGUUCAAAGAUUAAAUUUGUAACUGAACAAAACAUAAUCCUUUUCAACAGAUUACUCAUGGUAACCGGCAUAUAUACAGCUUGUACCACGUCUUUGAUUCUUAAUACUAAGUUUGUGUGGUAACCAUUUUCAGGCAAAAUAUGUGAGCGAGGCUGAGGAAAAGUAUGACGAACUAUUAAAAGCUUUGGAUCCUCAUUUAUCCUCACUUUACCAAAGGAGAUGUGAAGAGGCCACUAAAGAAGGUAACUGGUCCAACAUUUUAAAGCACAAAAUUCCUGAAAUAUGAAGACAUAUCAAAUCAUUUUGACAUGUAAUCAGGUGGUAAGGUGUCAGCACAUCGGUUUGGAUCGUGGAGUAUCCCACCUCUGAUACGAGAUGAGGAGUCGUUUCGAGCAUCUGUUAUGUCAAAUAUUCAAACAUGAAAGGUGAUAGUAACCUCAUAACCUCGUAACAAAUGUUGAUGAAAUAGCCUUCCUAAAUAGGGGAUUGUUGGUUCUACUAAUUUUUAUGCAUUGGUUUUUGAAAUAUAUUUUAGUGGUAAGAAAGGUGUAUAAUUAUGAGUGAUGUUCGUAAUGCACCUACCUAUUUUUAUUCAAAUAGGUCUACCACGUAGUUUACUCUUUUGUAACUUUAAGACAUGAAUUUCAGUUGCAAAAAUUAAUAUAAAUUUGAGCCCAUUAACUACUUCUAACUACUAGUGUAAUACCAUGCUAUACAUUUUAAUAUUUUCUUAUACUAUUAUUUUAUUGAAUUGAAUAUUUUUAUAUCAAAAUAAUGUUGUUUCGAAAUAUUUUACAUAAAAUAGUUGAUUUUUACGUUUUUUUUAAAUAAAAAAAAAGAAAAGAAAAAAAAGAAGGAAGAAUCUUGUUUUAAAAAAUAAAUAAAAAGAAAGGUCGAGUCUUAAAAAAACAGUGAAGAGAGAUGGGCGCUCUCUUUCAACUUUUAUUUAAAAGUUUUUCUUUUCUAUCAUUUAAAUAAAACUUAUUUAAACAUUUAUCUAAAUUUUAUUUUUUAAUUAUCAUGUUUUAAAAUAUUUCUUUAAAAAAAACUUGAUUUUAAUAUUUUAGAAUUAUUAUUAAUAUUAGUACCGUAAAAUUUAUAUCCUAAUUUAAGACCAAAGUAAAUUUUACUUAAAUCACCUAUCCAUGUAAUACGAGGGUGUCAAAUUUAGAUGAUCUUGUUAAACAAUCCAACAAUCCUUCCGACUUUAAAACUAAUAUGUUUUUAAAAAAAUUAUCAUUAAAAUAUUCUCCAAAUUCUUCACUUUUACAUUAUCUCUCCCUCCUCUUCCGUAUUUCUCAUUAGAAAAACACUCACAAAAUUAUAGAAGAAAAUAAAAUUAAAAUUCACAAUUAAAAUAACUGAUUUUGCCUAAUUAGUUGUCAAAAUCCAUUUUACCAUAAGAGAUGAGAGCUCUACCAAAGCUAGCUUCCUACGAAAAAUCAACUAUCAAGUAACAUAAAAACUCUUCUAAUAACAAAAGCCUACUUGUAUUUCCAUUUUCUCAAUUCACUUAAGAGCUUGUGUACUUCGGAAUUAUGCUAAACCUUCAAAUUUAUAUACAUAUAUUUUAUAGAAUUUCAAAAUAUUUAUAACCACUUUUAUUUAAUUUAUUGCAUUUAAUUUUGUAGUAAAUUUAGAAUAAUGAAAUUUCAUAAUAAUUAGUUUUGCAAUGAUUGAAUUUCAUGGAUGAGGGUAUAGAUGAAAUUUUAUAAAAGAAAAUUAAAAGAUAGAUUUGUUUUCUAUAUAUUAAAUAAAAUAAGGUUGGUUUCAAAAUUGAAGUAUAACGCAACCCAUUUUCCGUCAUCGUUAAAUUAAAAAACUCGCGGCUGCAACCGAAGCAUCCAUUAAUGGCGGACGCUGAUGAACCUUCGUCGAUCCCUAAUUCUAUUCCUUCAGAUCCUUCAGACGCGAAUCUCCAAAAGAAGCAUGCUUCAGUCAUCGAACGCCUAGCCAAUCGCAAUCAAACUCGCUUAGAGAAUUCCAUAACUCGCAGAUCGGAAUCCGAUUCCUCUACCUCUUCCACUUCUUCCUUUCUCGACCGCUUUUCCGACUCCAAGCGCGCCAUCGAGUCGGCACUCGCCCAAUGCCGCCUCACACCGCCGGACCCCGCUCAACUCAGAUCUCACCUCGAUGGGAUAUCCACCUCAAUCUCCGACCUCGAGAAGCUCGUUGCCGAAUCCUCUUACUCUUUGCCCUCAUACGAGGUACGAGCUUCACUCAAAUCCAUUUCGGAAUUGAAACAAGCCCUCGAUAAUUUAAAUUCUGAGUUGCUACCUAAAAAGAAAUUCUCAUUCAAAAACAAAGCCACGAAGAAAGACCAAAAAUCAGAGUCGAAAGAUCCAGGGCUUGAAAAUGCUGAUUCUAUGUUAAUGAACAAGCAACAGCAAGCGAGUUACAGCGCGCGGGAUUCUCCAGGAAUCAGAGACAAGGACGGAGAGAUUCUGGUAAAGAAUUUCAAGGGAUCAGAUGUUGGGGAAUUCACUAUCUCGGGUCUUAGUUCUUGUGAGGUCAAGUUGAUCGGUAGUGUUAGGGCAUUAUUUAUUCACAAACUAAGAAACUGCAAAGUUUACACAGGACCUGUAAUGGGUUCAAUUCUAAUUGAUGAUGUUGAGGAAUGUACCUUUGCAAUGGCCUCCCAUCAAAUCCGGAUUCACAACGCUAAGAAAAGCGAUUUCUAUCUCAGAGUCAGGAGUAGGCCGAUCAUUGAAGAUAGUAGCAGCGUGCGAUUCGCUCCCUAUCGUGUGAGCUACGAAGGAAUUGAAGAAGAUCUCACAGAUGCAACCCUUGGCGUGGAGACAGGGAAUUGGGAAAAUGUAGAUGAUUUUCGUUGGUUACGAGCCGUGCCGUCUCCGAACUGGUCGAUUUUGCCGGAGGAUGAGCGGAUUGACACCAUCAAAAUCUCUCCCACAGAAGGUUAAGCCUUUGAAAGUUAAGUUUUCAUCUCUACUUUUGAUGAAUCCCAAGUUUUCUUUCAAGGUUUUGUUUGGUUAAUAGAGCAGUAGGAUGCAUCAUAGAGAAUUUCAAGUAGUUGAUUUUGCUGUGAUUGUGUGUAUACAAAACUGGGAAUCCUAGUAAAUUCUCUCCCUUUCAAUUGGUUGAUUUUUCAAAAAAUAUUUCCUGGGUUGGCUGUUUUUCUUGCUGCCUUCGAGUGAGUUGCUAUAGCCACUUGAUAACUUUGCCUGAAGGAAUAUGAUUGUCAUUUCUUUUCAUACCAUGAAGAUUUAGACUACUAUGAUUUUGAAUGAAACAUUGUCUCAAAAUUGAAUAUUAGUUCUGGAAACAUGAUUUGUAGGCUUUCUGCCCCUGUAUGUAUGCUUGUUGAAUCUUGUAGCAGUCUCAAAUUUUGAUGUACUAUGAUGACUUGAUGAGUAAAAAGUAUUGGAGAGUUCUUCAAUCAAAGGGGUGAUCAUAAGCACAACUGAUAUAUGUCUCAAGAGUUUUCAUCUAAUGAAUGCUAUGCUUAUGGAAGGUUUGGAAAUUGCAUGGAACAAAUGAACACCAAGUACCUUAUAUGUAAGUUACGAACAUGAAGUUCGAGAAGAAAGAUAUAAGCUAUAAAGAAGAAGAAACAUUCUUGAAAGUGUUGUCAUUUCGUUCUCCUCAAAGAUGUCAGAAGAUCAUACAUAGAUUAUGGAUAUAGGAAAUGAUACCAACCAACCAACUCAAAGUUUUCCAAAGAGAACCAAAACCGAUAUGCAGAAGGACAAUGCACGUUUUAGUGGCAAGAAAUAGUCUCCAUUCCUUUAGAUUUAUGAUCCCCAACAACUCAUGCCAAAGCUUUCGUGAUCGCAUUCCAAAUUUGAGCCAAAAGCUUUUGGUGCAUCCCUCAAAUAUUGUAUAAAGCAACAUAUUCAUUUGUCUGCUUGUUCGUUUGCUAACAAGUAUCCGUCGAUAUUACCUCCUGCCUAAAAAAAUUAAGAGGAAACGAAUGCCUCCGAGGAGAUCAUGGUUUGACUCGUUGUCAUCGAUUAUACCCCAUAAUAUUUAUAUUAAAACAACAACAAACUAAAAAGCAUGGUUAGAGUGACAUCUUCUCAUUCUUUUUCUUUCAAGAAAAAGAUUUCCUAAUCGUCCUUACAAGUUCAAUUCAUUUUUAUCGAUUAAAAAGUGCAAAAUUACAAUAGAUGAUUAAAAUUGGAGUGCAAUCUUUGAAAUAUUUCAACAAGUUUUUCUUGAGUUGAACAAGUGUUUCCUAUUAUUAUUAUUUCAAAACUUUGUACUUGUUAUAUUGUUGUGAUAUUGUUGUUAGUCUUCGUAAAUGUUUCAAAACUCAUAGGAAAUAAACAUUUGUUAGAAUGACUAUGAUGAAAAUUGAAACUUGUUAGAUGAAAAUUAGGAGCAUUAGAACAUCGAGAAGGUGUUUGUGUGCCAACUUAAUUUUGUUCCACAACAAUAGUUUCGAGUCUUAACUUUUUUUUUAACAAAAUAACAAAUUGGGGUGUUUUAUUGGAAACAAAUUAAUGACAAAAUUUAGGAAUUUUUCCUCUCUCUUUCCCUUUCCUUUCCUUUUAUUUAAUAUAAUUAUCCUUACGUAAUUUAUGA